UACGUAGGGGGCAAGCGUUGUCCGGAAUCAUUGGGCGUAAAGCGCGUGUAGGCGGCUCGAUAAGUCUGCUGUGAAAGUCCAGGGCUCAACCCUGGGAUGCCGGUGGAUACUGUCGAGCUCGAGUCCGGAAGAGGCGAGUGGAAUUCCUGGUGUAGCGGUGAAAUGCGCAGAUAUCAGGAGGAACACCAAUGGCGAAGGCAGCUCGCUGGGACGUGACUGACGCUGAGACGCGAAAAGCGUGGGGGAGCAAAACAGG
rnacentral:rRNA from 1 species